AUUGAACGCUGGCGGCAUGCCUUACACAUGCAAGUCGAACGGCAGCGGACCUUCGGGUGCCGGCGAGUGGCGAACGGGUGAGUAAAGUAUCGGAACGUACCUUUCAGUGGGGGAUAACUGUCCGAAAGGACAGCUAAUACCGCAUAUUCUGUGAGCAGGAAAGCAGGGGAUCGCAAGACCUUGCGCUGAUUGAGCGGCCGAUAUCAGAUUAGCUAGUUGGUGAGGUAAAGGCUCACCAAGGCGACGAUCUGUAGCGGGUCUGAGAGGAUGAUCCGCCACACUGGAACUGAGACACGGUCCAGACUCCUACGGGAGGCAGCAGUGGGGAAUUUUGGACAAUGGGCGCAAGCCUGAUCCAGCCAUGCCGCGUGAGUGAAGAAGGCC
rnacentral:rRNA from 1 species